AUGCUGCUGUCCUGGGCCAUCCAGGCUGUCAUCAGAAGGAUCAGAAGGAAGGACUCUGGAAGGGAGGAUAACAGCUGGAAUUCAGAUAAGAAGGUAGUCCAGAUCCUGGGCAGCUCACCAAUGUGUAAGAGUGUGUGUGUAUGUGUGUGGGGGGGAGAUAAUUCCUUUCUCCUUACUUCCCCUUUCUCCAGCUUCUUUUCCCCACUCUCACCUAGUCCCUCCCAGCUAAGGCCCAGCUCUGGGCAUUGCUCAGGCUGCAGUUGAGGGGUCAUUUGUAGAGGGAAGCUGGGCAACAAUGUGAAGGCAGAUUUUGACUCAACAGAAGAGAGGGCUUCAACUGAGCUGCCUACAAGUGGAGUAAGUGACUCUUAGGAGCUGUAGGCCUUGGUAGGGUACCUGUCAGGGAUGCUUCUGUGAAGUGAGCUGGACCGUUUCCUGCCCCAAAUCUGGAAUUCUAUGCUUGUGGCAGCCUGCAUCUCCUAGCACCAUACAGAGAGGAUGGGGAAGGCCAAGAGAGUGAGGGAGCACAGACAGGUUCCUUACUUUGAAUUAGGAGCCAGCUCUGCUCUAGCAUCCUGAAAUGAUCUCGGAUCCCCAAAGUAUACAGCAGCUGGGUAGCAGGCCGGGGACAGUCUGCUAUAGAAUGCCUUGGGAAAAGAUUCCUCAGAGCCAGGGCCUGAACCCCUCACCCUCCACCCGCCAAAGACCCUGACCGUCAUAGGUGAGAUGGAUGACCAUUAGCCCAGAGCAACAUGGCAGUCCUCUCCUCCUAUAUCCUUGUUUCUCGUCUUCCUAUAUCCUUGUUGCCACCAGCAGAACUCAGCAGUUUGGGACACAGACAGGAGGCCUGGGGCCUAAUGUCCUUCCUGUGCGUUAGGUCUCCCAGGCCUGGGGGCUCCCACCAGGGCUCCUGGGCAGCUCAAAUACCAGGUAACCUCUUCCUCUUCACAGAGCUGACUCGUGCCGGCAUGCUUCUGGAUCCUUUGAACUAUGUCCUCCUCUGAGGGCUCAGCAUCAAGGGAAGUCCACAGAUCUUGUGAAGGAGGGAGGGCAGUCCCCAGCCAGGAAUAAGGGAGAAAGGGAAGUUGUAUUCCAGCCAGAAACUCAGUUGGGAAGGUAGGAGGGAGGAGGCAACAGGAGGAACAGCCCCCAAGCUGCCCCCCUGCUCUGCUGCUUAUCAGAAGAAACUUAAGAGUCAAGUAGUUGCUCCUCUGCCUUCUUAACCAGGAAGGACGUCUUCCUUCUCCUCCUCCAGGGUCUCACC
rnacentral:lncRNA from 1 species